rnacentral:rRNA from 1 species
GACGAACGCUGGCGGCGUGCUUAGCACAUGCAAGUCGAACGGAAAGGCCCUGCUUUUGUGGGGUGCUCGAGUGGCGAACGGGUGAGUAACACGUGAGUAACCUGCCCUUGACUUUGGGAUAACUUCAGGAAACUGGGGCUAAUACCGGAUAGGAGCUCCUGCUGCAUGGUGGGGGUUGGAAAGUUUCGGCGGUUGGGGAUGGACUCGCGGCUUAUCAGCUUGUUGGUGGGGUAGUGGCUUACCAAGGCUUUGACGGGUAGCCGGCCUGAGAGGGUGACCGGCCACAUUGGGACUGAGAUACGGCCCAGACUCCUACGGGAGGCAGCAGUGGGGAAUAUGGCACAAUGGGCGGAAGCCUGAUGCAGCAACGCCGCGUGCGGGAUGACGGCCUUCGGGUUGUAAACCGCUUUCGCCUGUGACGAAGCGUGAGUGACGGUAAUGGGGAAAGAAGCACCGGCUAACUACGU